rnacentral:rRNA from 1 species
UGGGGAAUCUUGCACAAUGGGGGAAACCCUGAUGCAGCGACGCCGCGUGAGCGAUGAAGCCCUUCGGGGUGUAAAGCUCUUUCGGCAGGGACGAUAAUGACGGUACCUGCAGAAGCAGCUGCGGCUAACUACGUGCCAGCAGCCGCGGUAAUACGUAGGCAGCGAGCGUUGUUCGGAGUUACUGGGCGUAAAGGGUGUGUAGGCGGUUGCUUAAGUUUGGUGUGAAAUCUCCCGGCUCAACUGGGAGGGUGCGCCGAAUACUGAGCGGCUAGAGUGCGGGAGAGGAGAGUGGAAUUCCUGGUGUAGCGGUGAAAUGCGUAGAGAUCGGGAGGAACACCAGUGGCGAAGGCGGCUAACUGGACUGUAACUGACGCUGAAGCGCGAAAGUGUGGGGAGCAAACAGG